AGUCCUCCCUCGCACCGCCCUGCUGCCCGCCUCUUCCCCGGCUCCUCCUCCCCUGACUCCGACUCCUCCUUCUCCUAAUCCUCCUCUCCCUCCUCUCCUCCCCUACCUCCUCCUCCUCCUUCUAAUCCUCCUCCUCUUCUUACCUUCCCUCCGCCCCUCCUCCCCUGACUCAUCCUCUCCUCCCGAUCCUUCCUCCUCCUCCCCUGACCUCUUGUCUCCCCCAACUCCCCCCUCCACCCCUCCUCCUCCCUCCUUACCCUUUCCCACCCCCUGUGUCCCAAACUAUGGCACAAUAGGCCUCAGCUCCUCUGUCUCUUCUGUGUCCAGCAGGAGCCCGCGGUGAUUCAUUGCGCCAAUUAGGGACUCUGCAGCCCGUAGCUCGGGCUGUGUGAAGGGUCUCCUUUGGGACCCACGAAACCCAUCAGCCGCUGCCGCUGAUCUUUAAGGAAAGGUCAAGCAGGACGCGCUAGUGCCAGGCUGUGCCUCUGACCCCAUUGCUGCUGUCACCGCCAUCACACUGUCACCAUCCUUCCCUGACAUCAACUCCGACUUCAUCAGCCUCCAGCAUGGACUGAAGAUCAGGGACAUCCCAUAAUCCUCCAGGCCUUCGGCUCCCAUACCUCUUGGCUUCUCAGCCUCUCCAGCAGAACCUCCAGCACAGUGGCUGGCUGAACUUGACCCUUGGCAGGUUGAGGAGUUUCCAUCUGAGGCAAAAGCUGCUGGUGUUUUCCUGCAUAUCCAGUCCACGUCUUCUGUUGACAGCGAGGCUUGUGGAAUGGACAGCCGUGAAUGGAAGGGACUCUAAGCCCAGGGAGGUGUGCACACUUCCUGCACACUAGACAAGGUCAGCAAUACUCAGAAACGGUUCCCGCUGAAGGAGAAACACAUUUAAAAGUGCAGCCCGCCUACACCCCAGCCCAGUGGUUCUCAGCCUUUCUUAUGCUGCGACCCUCUAAUAUAAGUUCCUCAUGUUGUGGUGACCCCCAACCAUGCAAUUGUUUUGUUUUGCUUUACAACUGUUAAUUCUGCAAUUACUUAUGAACUGUAUUGAAAAUAUCUGAUUUACAGGAUAUACGAGAUAAGAAACCCCCAAGGGAUCUCAAUGCA